rnacentral:misc_RNA from 1 species
UAGAACUCGCUGCUGGCAACGGGGGCGUGGUCGCCGCACAUGUAGACGUACCGGUAGACGAGGCCGGCGAGGCCGCCGCCGACGAGGGGGCCGACCCAGUAGAUCCAGAUGUUGGUGUAGUCGCCGCUGGCGACGGCGGGGCCGAAGGAGCGCGCCGGGUUCAUGGAGCCGCCGGAGAAGGGGCCGGCGACGAGGAUGUUGGCGCCGACGAUG